rnacentral:rRNA from 1 species
UAGGGAAUCUUCCGCAAUGGACGCAAGUCUGACGGAGCAACGCCGCGUGUGUGAAGAAGGAUUUCGGUUCGUAAAACUCUGUUGUUAGAGAAGAACAGCGCAUAGAGUAACUGUUAUGCGUGUGACGGUAUCUAACCAGAAAGCCACGGCUAACUACGUGCCAGCAGCCGCGGUAAUACGUAGGUGGCAAGCGUUGCCCGGAUUUGUUGGGCGUAAAGCGAGCGCAGGCGGUCAAUUAAGUCUGAUGUGAAAGCCCCCGGCUCAACCGGGGAGGGUCAAUGGAAACUGGUUGACUUGAGUGCAGAAGAGGAGAAUGGAAUUCCAUGUGUAGCGGUGAAUUGCGUAGAUAUAUGGGGGAAAACCGGUGGCGAAAGCGGCUAUCUGGUCUGUAACUGACGCUGAGGCUCGAAAGCGUGGGGAGCGAACAGG